rnacentral:rRNA from 1 species
UGAGGAAUAUUGCACAAUGGGGGAAACCCUGAUGCAGCAACGCCGCGUGGAGGAUGAAGGUCUUUAGAUUGUAAACUCCUUUUCUGUGGGACGAGAGAGGACGGUACCACAGGAAUAAGUCACGGCUAACUACGUGCCAGCAGCCGCGGUAAUACGUAGGUGGCGAGCGUUAUCCGGAUUUUCUGGGCGUAAAGGGUGCGUAGGCGGACCUUUAAGUGAGAUGUGAAAUCCCCGAGCUUAACUUGGGGGCUGCAUUUCAAACUGGAGGUCUAGAGUGCAGGAGAGGAGAGUGGAAUUCCUAGUGUAGCGGUGAAAUGCGUAGAGAUUAGGAAGAACACCAGUGGCGAAGGCGACUCUCUGGACUGUAACUGACGCUAAGGCACGAAAGCGUGGGGAGCAAACAG